rnacentral:rRNA from 1 species
GCCUGAUGCAGCCAUGCCGCGUGUAUGAAGAAGGCCUUCGGGUUGUAAAGUACUUUCAGCGGGGAGGAAGGGAGUAAAGUUAAUACCUUUGCUCAUUGACGUUACCCGCAGAAGAAGCACCGGCUAACUCCGUGCCAGCAGCCGCGGUAAUACGGAGGGUGCGAGCGUUAAUCGGAAUUACUGGGCGUAAAGCGCACGCAGGCGGUUUGUUAAGUCAGAUGUGAAAUCCCCGGGCUCAACCUGGGAACUGCAUCUGAUACUGGCAAGCUUGAGUCUCGUAGAGGGGGGUAGAAUUCCAGGUGUAGCGGUGAAAUGCGUAGAGAUCUGG